rnacentral:rRNA from 1 species
GGAUUGCAGGCUGCAACCCGCCUGUAUGAAGUUGGAANCGCUAGUAAUCGCGGAUCAGCAUGCCGCGGUGAAUACGUUCCCGGGCCUUGUACACACCGCCCGUCACACCAUGAGAGUCGGGAACACCCGAAGUCCGUAGCCUAACCGCAAGGGGGGCGCGGCCGAAGGUGGGUUCGAUAAUUGGGGUGAAGUCGUAACAAGGUAGC